GGGGCUGCAGAACUUCCAGCCAGGACAGGCACAGCAAACAGGCAUCAUGGCAGGGAAGUGUCUGGCCCUGAGCAGUCAGCAGUCGCAGGACCAGGAAAGAGGGAGGGACCUGCAUGGACACCAGGGACUAAAGGUUACUGCAAUUCUCAAUGACAUUUCCAAUCCACUCCCACAGCUGGCCAGGGGUGAGCUGCUCCAAAGGCUCCCUUGGGGCACAUUCGGACAUUUAGAAUCCGGAGCAGGAACAAAGGGCAGCGGGGGAGGAAGUGGCCGUCAGUGUGGAGCUGAGCUUCCCAGCCCACCAGGGUUUCAGUCACUGUCCAGGGUGACAGUCCCAGCCCAUCAGUGACUGAAGCUGGCUUAGAUGACACCUGGGGGCCAGGCCCUUGUUUUACAGGCCAGGAAACUGAGGCUGGGGCCACACGACCGCAGCGCUCCUUGCGGACUUAUCUGCGACCUCACAGCAACCCGGUGGUGGUGGGAAAGCUCCUCUGGAGCAGGCAGAUAAGGAAACAGAGGCUCAGAGGAGUCCAGAGCCGGCUCAAGGUCACGCACCCGGUGAAGCCAGGGCUGGUGGCGCCUGGGCUUCCUGGUGCAAGGCACUUUCUGCUCUUCCCAUCCUGGUCUGGCAGGAACAGCCACUAAGCCAAGAGGAUCGGAGGCCCAGAGAGGCAGGGCAUAUACAAAGGCACAGUCGAGACUCUCCGGUGGAUUAUAUAACCCCUCCGAGGGGCUGUUCCCGGGGGGAACUGAGGCAGCCAAGGUGGCCCGGGGACCGCACAGCCAGUCUGGCCCACCCACCAGCCGGCUUCGCUCUUUCCAAAGAGUGACAGGCACCUGCACCUAUGUGUCGAGGAGCCCCCGGAGUGAGUGGAGUUUCAGCAAGUUCAUGGCACAACUUGGAGACCCAGGGCUGCCAAGCCAGGACCUACACGGCACUGCGGAAGCCACGCCCAGAGCGCCUGUCAAGGGCAUCCAGGGACUCAUCCUCUUCCAUGAACCCUGUCUGAGCGGUCACCCUGAGCAGGUCCUGCCCAUGGGACACAGUAGCCACAGGGUGCCUGAGGACACCUGGCCAGGUGAGGUUGGGGUGGAAGUGAUGCCCACACAGUCCCUGGGAGACAAGAACAGAGGCUGGGACAUGUGGUCCAGUGGUUAGUGUCGUGGGCUUGGACAAGGUAGCUCUGAGCCUGCCUGGCCACGUGACCUCUGGCAUGGCACAGAGCUCCCUGAGUGUCAGUGUCCUGUCCCCAGACCCCUGGGGGAUGGAGAUCCGCCCAUGUGGACAAGGAAGCAUAGGGGAUCAGGAAUGGGCUGGGGGCUGGGCACGGCCAGGGCACCCAGACUUCCCCCUUGGGCCAUGUGGAGAGGAGCGACCCUCUGAGCUCCCUGGGGCUGGGCUGUGGUGCAGGGACGCUCAGGUUGGGGCCUCAGUGGACAGGGAUGGGCAGGAGAGGGCACCACUGCAGCUGUACGGAGCACGAGUGUGCCAUGUGAGUGUGUGUGUAUGUACUGUCACGGGUGUGGGGUGUAUCGUUGGGCAUGUGGCAUUCACAGUCUCUGUUGUGUGUGUUCUGUGAAGUAUGUGUUGUGUGUGCAGUGUGUAUUGUGUGUGUUGUGUUGUAGUUGUGCAAUUCGGGCAGUGUGGGGGUGUGGAUGGCAUGUCCGCGUGCAUUGUACAGAUUUUGUACCCAUGGGUGUGCAUGUAGCGCUUGUGUGUAGCAUGUGUGUGGUGUGUGUGUGGUGUACAGCGGGGUGUGGUGUGCAUGUGCGGUGUGUGUGCCCUGUGACACGUGGAGUGGGUGGAAGCGGUGGCCUCUCCUCCCCCUCGGGCCUGUGUGGGUGGCCGUCCCACGCGCAGGCCCUGUGUGUGUCUGUGCGGGCAGUGGUGGCUGUGAGUCUCAGGAGAGAGAGUCUGUGUGUGCUGUGUCUGUGACCCCGAGGAGUACAGGGCUCAGCGGGGUCCCUGCUUCCCCAUCACUGCGCAGGGCUCUGUGCCCGUGGCUGCCAGCACCUGGGGACGGAAGAGCUCGCACCUGGCUGGGGCAACGCCGUAUCCAGCCUCGCACACACAGCUGCCUCCCCUGCAGCCACCGAGGGCCUCCUCCCCAGCCCUGGGCACCUCCCCCUCCCGGCCUCCAGGGACCCCCACGCCCUCCCCCACUGCCCAGUGCAAACCCGUGCACCUCCCAGGGCCUCAGUUUCCUCUUCUGCCGAAGGGAGGCCCCUGCUGUCCCAUCCAGGUCCUGGUGGCUGUGCAUCCUUGGGUUGCAGCCACAUCACUGCAGGGUUCAAGGCCGGCAUCUUUGACCCUCGCUGUCCAUGUGCCCCCCGCCCCGUAAAAGCCACACACGGCCGACGUGGGGGGCAGCCGGGCCAUCGCCCCCCCAUUGCCAACCCCUCCCCUUAAUCCCAUCUGCACAGUCCUUUCCCCUGCCUGUCGCAUAAGGCCACGUUCGCAGAUGGCAGGGGAGGACGCACACAGCCGGGGGCCGGUUGUGUGCUGGCCAAGGCUGCAGGAGCAGGCCCCGGGGUGCUGGGAGGGCGAGCUGAACCGGAACACCCCAUCUCGGCCACCUACAGGCCCACAAAUCUGGGCCGGGCUUCCGGCUUGAGAUGGGCUGGGAAGUCUCAGACUGCGCUGGCAUCACCCCCAGCCCGCUUCUGAGCCGCCAUGCUCUGUGUCCCCCGCUUUAAUCCUCCGUCCUUAUUUACUAUGUCGCUGCCUUUGGGAGGCCUGCUCCCCCGCAAACCCUGGCUCACCGGGCAGCCUGGGAUGACUCAUCUCUCUCUCUCCAUGAGAGCGAGCACAGCCUUUUCAAAGGGCUGGCUGGGGGAGGAAGCUAAAUUUAAAGCCAGGCUUCCCGAGCCCAUCACCUGCCAUGUCAAAAUUGCUGCCAUUUAAUUAGAAGUUGGACAUCAGGCAUUCCACCUCCACCCACCGGACCCCUACUCUGGGAGGGAGGGGAGGCUGAGACCCUGGUGGCCUGGGGAGGGACCCCAGCCCUGGAACUUUUCCUGGGAGUAGCCCUCCAUUCCUGAACGCUCUCCAGUCCUUUCUUCCUUUUCAAGAUCUUGCGUCCCAACUCCUGGCCCCAUUUCCCAAAUCAAGACACAAGAGCUGGGGGAUGUAGCUCAGUGGCGCUGUGCCUGCCUGGCAAGCACAAGGUCCUGAGUUUGAUCCCCUGGUAUCAGGAAAAAAAAAGACCCAAGGUCAGUGAUGAGAGAGAUUAGAGCCCUUCUCCUCUGGAGUCAAGGUGAGGGUGUGUCCAAGCCAGGAUUUAACCUCCAUCCGGCUCCAGGGGGUGGGAUAAUGGUCUUGCUGCUCCUGGGGCAGAGUGGGUACAGGUGGAUGCCCGUGCUUGGAGCAUGUUUUUCUACUAGUGGAAGGGGGAAGGGAAGGAAAGACGGGGCUCUCUGAAGAUGGAGACAUCGCCCAAGGCCCUGACCGAGGGGCCCUGGUGCCCCAGCCCAUCCUGCAGCUCCUUGACCUCCGCCACCCUUUGCUUCUGUCGGUAGGUGGGGCCAGCUGCCCAUGGCUGCUGUUCUUCUCCCAAGUGACUAUGGGGAUCAUGUGCUCUAGGAGCAGGUGACCAGGCACACAGGGCUGUCCAGUGCCUGGGAGCACUGGCUGCAGUCAGAGCUGAGUGAAUCCUGGCUGCAGAAGACACUGGUGAUGUUCGCAGCCUCGGUGUGCUCAUCUGUGAGAUAUGCAAGAUGUGACAGUUCAGGCCAGGCCGGGCACAUAGGAAGUGUGCAGCGUGCACACCUGAGGUGGGCCCAGGGAUUUGGGCGCCUGGGCGGUAAGAGCUGGGCACCCAGAAGCCUCCCAGGGCAGACGAUGCGCACGGAUACCAGCAGCAUGGUUUGCUGGAGCCAGAAGCCACACUCUCCCCUUCUGUCCUUACUGUCUCCCUCUGGGCACAGCAGUGAACAGGUUUCUCUUCCCCCCAGGGCAGGAGGCCAGGCAGGGUGCUCCCAGCCCUCUGGUGAAGCUGGGCUUUGUCUGUAGGCAGAGUACACAGGCAAGCCCGGCUCAGACCUCCUGAUCUACAUACCAGUGGAUUCGACCAUGAAUGAGUUUGUGGCUGGCUGUGCUAUGAGGAGGCCAGGCCUGGUUAGAGGCUGUCACUGCGGACGUGACCAGGAAGGGGCGUGUUCCUGUCCCUGCCUCCUCCCUGCUCUCUGUGCUUCCUGGCUGCCAUGAUUUGAGCAGCUUUUCCUCCUCCAGGCCUCUCCACUGUGCUGUUUCUCCCCUGGAGCCAGCCAACCGCAGGCUGAAACCGUGAGUCAAAAUAAACCUCUCUUCCUUUGAGCUGUGGGUGUUGGGUGUUUUGUUCCAGCGGCAGGGAAGUGACUAAGGUGAGACCACGUUGUAAGAGGGCACCAGCGAAGGUGGGCUGGGCAGGGGUAGGGUCUCCGAACAAGGAAAGGAGCUGGGGCCCAUCCUAUAGCCACAGCACCUGGAUUCUGCCAGCACAGAGUUGGGAAGUGGAUUCUAACCCUGGAUUCCAGGUAUGGACCAGCCUGGUGACACCCGGUGGGACCGUGAGACUGAAGCCCACCUUCCCUCAGCGCUUCUAGCCUGUGGAGCACUAGGAGGGGAUCUACCCUGCAGCUGCUCACGCCGGUGACUUCCCCGUGAGAUCCUGACAUCCUGGCCAGCACUGCACUGACCAGGCCACCCCUUGGCUCACAGAUGGAGGUGGUCACACCUUUGGGACAGAGCCAGCUCCUGGCUAGUCUUUCACGGCAGGAGAAGAGGGACAGCUCUGCCAGGUUGGCAGCGAGGUUCCUGCCAUGCAGAGCUCUUGGGGACAAGCCUGCACCCAGGGCUGCCUGUGACCUGCUUGUCUUCCUGUGACCUACUGAGGCAACCAGGUCGGGCCCCACAGUGUCCCAGGUUCCUAGCCCGGAGGGUGUCAGCCACCAGGGGGCUUCAGGGAGCCAGGAGGUACUGGAAGGGAGAUGCCUUCAUCACAUUCCCAAGCUGAAGGCAGGAGAAUGGGGACUGAGUGCUGCUCUUGGUCUCCCCAAGCCUCAGUUUCCCCACCUGCACCCUGCCACUGAUAACAACCCCCCCUCAGGCACCUCAGGCAGCCCCAGGCUCUGGUUUUAGAGGUUAUGAGUGCUAGGUUGCGGGAAGCUCGAGAGUGAGUGCUGUCCCAUCCUGUCCGUAUCCACAGUUUCACAGGUGACAAGCUGAGAACAGAGGUGACAAGUGAGGUCUCACUCUGAGCCCUGGGCCUGACACACCAGCUGGCGAGCUGGACAGAUGCCCCCAUCCCACACAGCCCCUUUUGUCAUAUGUGGACCUCAGCAGGUAGACAGGGCCUGGCCAGGAAGUGGGGUCCCACCCCAGACCACAGCCCGGCAGCCCCCAGCCAGCUGGGCAGGCGACAAAGCCCACUCCCGGCUUCCACACUGGAUAUCCAACCCCAGCUUGGUUCUCCGCAGCCCACACCUCUCAUGGCUGGUGGUGUCUUCCCCAAGGGGUCUUGAGCCCACACAGAGUCUGGCAAGGAGAAUUAACACGACCCAAGCUCAUAGGGCGAGUGGAGCGCCCUGGCAUCCCCCUAACCCAGCCGGCACUCCCUGGGGCGCCCUGGAGUAAUCCCUGGAGUGAGCAGUCAGGCCUCAGGCUCACCAAGCAGGGCCCUUUGUACCUGGGAGAAAUGCUGGGCACCGGGCAUGGCAGGCCCCUCAUCUCAGAGCUUUUGAAAGGCAGCCUGAGCCAGUCCUGCGCCCAGCCUGAGGCCACACAGCUCAUGAGAGCGCAAAGCCUGCCCCGUGGCUAGGGUGGCCUUGCCCUGUACAUGGUCCCCUUAAUCCUCCAAAGGCCAAGCAGGCAGGACAAGGUCUCCUUUGUAGCUGUCUGGGCCUGGCCAGGGGCCGCACUGUUUCUAGCAUAAGCCCCGGCUUUUCUGUUACUGGGUUUGGAGCUGGAGUGCAGCCUCCUCUUCCCCUUCCGGGCCACACACGGAGUGUCUGAGCAGUAAAUACCUGUUUCAUCAGGCUAGUUAGGUUUCCUGCCUGACAGGGCUCUAUGCCUGUGGUCCCCUCAGAUGGGCUCCCAGAGCCCUUUCUCCCAUCCUAGAAGUCACUUCUAUGGAUUCCUGAUAGCAAAAAUGGGCCCAGAGAGGUUAAGUGACUUGCCCAGGGUGACACAGCUGGGAAGUUUCCGAGCUGGGCUUCAACCGGGGUUGUCUGCCCCCAACCCAGGUCCCUGCUCUUGACUUUGAUGCAGCAAGGAGCAGAGAGGCGGUUGUGGAAGUGGAACAUGCCUGGCUGCACCUCUGCAGGC
rnacentral:lncRNA from 1 species